rnacentral:sRNA from 1 species
GUGUAUGUGAUUUUAAGGGUAGUCUUCAACAUCAAGAGAAGAGACCACCAAACAGGUUUUGUGAUAAGAAAAGUACUUCACCUUCAAAUUCAGACACAGAAAUGAAAUCUGAACAACUGCCUCCUUGUGUGAACCCUGGCAAUCCUGUGUUUUCAUGUAUGUUGGAUCCAAAGACACUCCAGACAGCCACCUCACUAUCAAAACCUCAAAUGAUUAUGUAUAAAACCAAUUCAAGUCAUUAUGGUGAAUUUCUACCUAUUCCAGAGUUUUUCCCCUGCAAUUAUACUCCAAAGGAGCAAGUAUUUUCAAGCCAUAUCAGAGCAACUGGAUUUUAUCAAAAUAACAGUCUAAAUACUGCACCUGACAGAACCAGAACUCUUGAUUUUCCUAAUAUUCAACACACUCUAUGAAAAUAUAUUCCUUUGUAUAUUGAAGAGAAAAUGUACUCGGGAAAAAUGAGUGUUAAAUCUAAGGGUAGAAUACCUAAUAAAGAAGAUUAAAAGUUUUGAAUCAAUUUUUAAAAUAAGUUAAAGUAUUUCAACUGAUAACUACAUGACAGUGAUUUUUAAAUGAAAAUAUGUUCAAAAUAGCAAAAUAAA